AGCAUCUGGACUCCCCAGGACCAUAGGCCAGGAUCCUGUUUGUGGACCUCAGCUCUGCUUUCAACACCAUCAUCUCGUCUCUGCUGCAGAAAAAAAUCUCUCCGCUGCACGUGCCCGACUCCACCUGCAAGUGGAUCACUGACUUCCUGUCUGACAGGAAACAGCACAUGGAGCUGAGCAAACAUGUCUCAGCCUCCCGGUCCAUCAGCACCGGUUCCCCCCAAGGCUGCGUUCUUUCCCUUCUGCCCUUCUCCCUGUACACCAACAGCUGCACCUCCUGUCCCCAUGACACCACCCUCAUUGGACUGAUCUCUGGUGGGUCCGCCUACAGUCUUCUAGGAACAUCAGAGGACCUGGGCCGUGCUGCUCCUCUGACCCCCUGUGCAACUUUACCGAAGGACAUCCUGAAGACAAACAAUGGCAGAGAACAAAGUUAGUCAGCGGUUCCCAAGCUCCCGUCUGCCGUCACACUCAACACGAACUAUAAUGCCAGGAUGGACAUGACACUAUGCUGACAGCUGAGCAUGUUCUAGAGCGGCGCCCUGCGGCAGACUUCUGUGUUCGGAGACAUGAGCCAUCUGUUUCAG
ensembl:lncRNA